CAAAAGCUGUGUCCACAAGAUGCUUAAUAGAAAAACAAAUUGCCAGAACAGGAUGGUUUAGUUCCAGGUAGCAUUACAUAGAAGAGUUUCAAACAGAAUUUGAUGGACUAAUAAUGACACAAUCUCAGCAGCUUCAGCAACCUGUUAAGAACAUUGAACAAACAUCAUUAGAUACGUUGACAUGAAAAAGAUAAACAAAAAACAGAAGAAAAAAGUCACCACAAUAAAUAGUAGAACAACGAGAAACUGGUUUUCCACUUCUCAAUGCUGCUCUGCACAUAGUAUCACCACUACUCUACAUACAAUCUUCUUCCCGUUUUGAAUAAAGUAGGGUUCUCAACCAUUAUCUCCAACAUAAAUCAGACCAGUAAAUCCAUUUUCCUUUUCCUGGUCCAAGAACUUCCACAAGAAAAAGACUUCAGACCUCCAAAUAUGUAUUUAUAUGCUCUAUGAUGAACAAGUUCCUGCUACAUGACAAUUAAAGACGAAAUUUGCCAUCCUAAACGCAGCAAUUGUUUAACACUAAAACACAUGCAAUUUGCUGUAACAGAGUGGAAAACUAUGUUACUCGGGCUCGGGUAUGAGAGUCAGAUAUGGGUAUGUGUCUAAGUGUCUAGUUCUUUAAUCAUCUAAAAUCAGGAUAAAGGGACACUUCUAAAGAGUCGGAUACUGGUACUUAGGUAUGAUGGACUUUCUAGGAAAUAUAUAUACAAAUUAUGUACAUUGAUUGUUGUUUACUUAUAAACGAACAGGGCCAUUUUCCUUGGGAGCUUUUCAGAUUUCAUUUAUACAAGGGAAAUUCAGAAUUUUAGAUAGGUCUUCUUUCUCUCUAACAUGAAAGUCCUAAAGUUUUCCACUUCACUUUACUUCUCUCCUCCCCCUUCACCAUCAACAUCCACUGACAAAAAAGAAAGUACCCAAAAAGUUGUUGAAGUCCAAUGCCUGGUCGACCUCUCCUGAUGUAUCUGUCAGUGAAGGAAGCAUCCCAUACCAGUACCUGUGCCAAGUUAUGUCGACACGGUAGAGCCGGAGUAACAUAGGUGGAAAGGUGAUUUUCCGGUAGCUAAUUUGUCAGUGUCACAAGUUUGACAAGCAUGGUGCAGCUUAUACCCAUUAUGGUAACAAUGGCUUUCACCCUGACAAAAUUAUACAUAACUCGAUGACUAUGUCUUGGAAAAUAUUUUGCAUUGCUCGGGCAUCCAAGAAAGAUAGAUAGUGAGAGUGAUAGCCAGAAAUUUCAAUCACUUAAUAAAGCUCACUUCUCUCUUCCUUUCUACCUGGCACGUUAGAAUCAACAUUCCAUUCCAUGGAACUGGUCAUGAAAAAGUAAAUGUGUGUUAGGAACCAAAUAUACCCCUCAUCUCAACACACAUUAUUUAUUUCUACAGCCAAGCCCCACAAAACUUUGGUUUCAAGAGGACAGAAAGCAAAUUCCUAAGCCCAGAUUCCCAGGACUACAGCUUUUUGUUAAAUGUGAGUAUUAUCGUCAGCUAACCUUUCUCUGGAAAAGCUGUUUAAUCAGAUUCUUUCCUAGCUGGGGAUACAAUGUACCUCUACAUGCCCCUUGGAAGAGAGCUUUUGGCUACAAACCUCAAUAGGCCACAAUUGUUUUCCAGCUUAGCUCCACUACAUGGAUAAUUUCCUAUUUCUUUUUUUUUCAAGUCCUUUUGCCCAGUAUCAAGUAAAAAAUGAGGCUCAUAGAAGAAAUGAAAGCUGUAACUGGCCAAAUCUUGCCGGUAUUGACCAGAACUGACUACUAAAGCACCCCAAAUCCCAUGGUUUUUUCUUCAUGCGAGCAGUUGCACUUAUAGAUAGCCAGUUUGUCACACAUCACAUAGUCUACUCACUUAAUAUAACUAAAAAGCAGUGCUCUUAGUUUUGAUUGAUGCUUUGACAGAAAUUGGUAAACAUUCAGGUACAAAUGCAAUACCCUAGACAGAAACCUCAUGUACUGCAGGUGAACUAAGUGGCUAAAUGUGAAAAUCAUUUAUUAGAUAGUACAAAGGCACUGCAUUUGCAAUCUUUUCCAUUGCAACAGAACGAUUAGCUUCAAUACUUCUGAGGUACAAAAUUAUCAAAAUUUGUUCAGUUGACAACUAAUCAGGCCAUUAUCGUUAGCACAUCUAGAAACAACUUUGGGAGUUAGAUGUAAUAUCAAUGAACAUUCAAAGGUAGCAAAACGCUAAUCACAGAUCCACACAAAGCAAAGCAACUAAAAAGUUCUCUCACUGAGUAUGUCUGUGCUGCACAGAGCAAAUACAUCCUAAAACAAGUUCAUAAACAUUGUCUCCAAAGUGGCACUCUUCUUUGCCUGCCAACUGAAGCAAAUCUCCAACCAACAAAAGUAAGGUACAAAAGAAGGAUAUAAGCUUUAUCACAAAGAAGCACAUAAAUGAGCAAUGCAACACUCUUAACAGAUACAUAAAUUCACUAAGAAACUCAUAAACUUGAGUUAAACCACAUUCGAUUGGAGAAAACGUAAAUGACCACUUACAAAACUAAAACAAGAAAAAUCGUUGAUUAAUACUCCCUCCGUCCCAUUGACACGGUCAUAUUUUCCUUUUUAGUUCUCCCAAAAUAUUUAUAACUUACAUAAAUUGGCUAACACAUUUGCAUUCAAUUCCUCCAUUUACCGUUCAAACACUCCCUAAAAGUCCAAUGCAUGUCUUUUCAUGAGCCCACAGAUUAUUACCGACGAAACUAGGACAACUUCUUUUGUAGUACGCGCUAGUUGGCAUUAAGAAACUAAAGCCAUUAAGUGUUCUGAUGCACGCGCUAGUUGGCAAUCAUAUCUGCGAUUGGACAAACAUCUUGGCUCCACGAUUCUUUAUGUCUUAACACAACACUUAAAGCUCUUCAAUUUUCAAAUUCUAUCCACUCUUCAUAAAAAUUACAGUCCCCGAAGUGCGAUAAAUUUUAUGGGACAAAGCGAGUAAUUCUCAAUAGGAGACCAAAACUGUUCCUAAAUCGUAAUUUACUGUAAUUUACUGUAAAAAUUAAAUCGUCUAUUGUACGAAUCAUUAGCUCAUAAUUUGCAAGCACUUCAACCAAAAAUUACAUUUCUAUUCCAAAAACCCCAUUCAGAAAUAACCUUAAGCUGUCAAAACAUAGAGAUUAUAAAUCCUAAAGACUGUCAAUUAAAAAAACUAAAGCAAACCCACUUAACAAAACCUAUCCAACCGUCACCCAAGAAAAAAAAUUUUAUUUACCUUCCCUAAGAUUAAACCAAAUAAAACUUGAAACCCAGAAAAAUGUCAAAAAGCCUCCAAAAAAUCCCCAGGUAAAAUCAUCCAAAAUAAAACUCAAAGAAAAAACUAAAAAAUAAUUACCUUUAGAUCAAGCAUUGGCAGUUUGAGGAAUAGGCUGCGCCGCUGGGGAGCCUUGUUUUUGUUGGGCUUCGGCUUCCGGGAUCUUCUGCAUCCGUUCCAUGACAAGCUCGUACUCGCACUUCUUACCUGCUUGAUUGAUUAACAAAUUGAUAAGACCGAAACAAGUAAUCUAUGUGCAUAUGCCGCUCAUAUGCUCUGCCUAAUCAAUUAUACAUGUAAACAAAAUUCACCGCUCGAGAUGAAGCAAAAAUCAAGAUUUGGCCUUGUUUGAAUUCCCAUUUCUUCCCAAAAAAUUUUACACUUUGCGUUAAUGCAUCUUUCAAUCACUUUUUUUUACCUCACGUGUGUCAUAUACUUACAAUAUAUUUUUUUCACAAAAACUCCAGAAAAUAGUAUCCAGACGGGUUAUUUGAAAUUAAUGUCUUAGCAUCCACAGAAUUUUCUCAAGUACCCCACAGCUUUCUCUUCACAGACUCGACCACAAUUGCCAUGGUCCCCGCAGCUCUC
rnacentral:lncRNA from 1 species